rnacentral:rRNA from 1 species
UACGUAGGGAGCAAGCGUUAUCCGGAUUUACUGGGUGUAAAGGGUGCGUAGGCGGCUUGGUAAGUCAGAUGUGAAAUGUAUGGGCUCAACCCAUGCACUGCAUUUGAAACUAUCGAGCUUGAGUGAAGUAGAGGUAGGCGGAAUUCCCUGUGUAGCGGUGAAAUGCGUAGAGAUAGGGAGGAACACCAGUGGCGAAGUCGGCCUACUGGGCUUUAACUGACGCUGAGGCACGAAAGCGUGGGUAGCAAACAGG